rnacentral:rRNA from 1 species
UAUGGUGACUAUAGCGCGGGGGUCCACCUUUUCCCAUUCCGAACAGAGAAGUUAAGCCCCGCAGCGCCGAUGGUACUGCCUUCAACGGUGGGAGAGUAGGUCGUUGCCAGUU